GACGAACGCUGGCGGCAGGCCUAAUACAUGCAAGUCGAGCGCACCUUCGGGUGAGCGGCGGACGGGUGAGUAACGCGUGGGAACGUGCCCUUUGGUACGGAACAACUGAGGGAAACUUCAGCUAAUACCGUAUGUGCCCUUCGGGGGAAAGAUUUAUCGCCAUUGGAGCGGCCCGCAUUGGAUUAGCUAGUUGGUGGGGUAAAAGCCAACCAAGGCGACGAUCCAUAGCUGGUCUGAGAGGAUGAUCAGCCACACUGGGACUGAGACACGGCCCAGACUCCUACGGGAGGCAGCAGUAGGGAAUCUUGCGCAAUGGGCGAAAGCCUGACGCAGCCAUGCCGCGUGAAUGAUGAAGGUCUUAGGAUUGUAAAAUUCUUUCACCGGGGAAGAUAAUGACGGUACCCGGAGAAGAAGCCCCGGCUAACUUCGUGCCAGCCGCCGCAGUGACAC
rnacentral:rRNA from 1 species